AUUAACCGGAUUAGAUACCCUGGUAGUCCACGCCCUAAACGAUGUCAACUAGCUGUUGGGGCCUUCGGGCCUUGGUAGCGCAGCUAACGCGUGAAGUUGACCGCCUGGGGAGUACGGUCGCAAGAUUAAAACUCAAAGGAAUUGACGGGGACCCGCACAAGCGGUGGAUGAUGUGGAUUAAUUCGAUGCAACGCGAAAAACCUUACCUACCCUUGGCAUGUCUGGAAUGCCGAAGAGAUUUGGCAGUGCUCGCAAGAGAACCGGAACACAGGUGCUGCAUGGCUGUCGUCAGCUCGUGUCGUGAGAUGUUGGGUUAAGUCCCGCAACGAGCGCAACCCUUGUCAUUAGUUGCUACGAAAGGGCACUCUAAUGAGACUGCCGGUGACAAACCGGAGGAAGGUGGGGAUGACGUCAAGUCCUCAUGGCCCUUAUGGGUAGGGCUUCACACGUCAUACAAUGGUCGGGACAGAGGGUCGCCAACCCGCGAGGGGGAGCCAAUCCCAGAAACCCGAUCGUAGUCCGGAUCGCAGUCUGCAACUCGACUGCGUGAAGUCGGAAUCGCUAGUAAUCGCGGAUCAGCAUGUCGCGGUGAAUACGUUCCCGGGUCUUGUACACACCGCCCGUCACACCAUGGGAGUGGGUUUUACCAGAAGUAGUUAGCCUAACCGCAAGGGGGGCGAUUACCACGGUAGGAUUCAUGACUGGGGUGAAGUCGUAACAAGGUAGCCAAUC
rnacentral:rRNA from 1 species